AACGUAGGGGGCCAGCGUUGCUCGGAAUUACUGGGCGUAAAGGGUCCGUAGGCGGUGUGGCAAGUCGGAAGUGAAAUCUCUGGGCUUAACCCAGAGGCUGCUCCCGAAACUGCUAUGCUAGAGUGCGUGAGAGGCGAGUGGAAUUGCGGGUGUAGCGGUGAAAUGCGUAGAUAUCCGCAGGAACAUCCGAGGCGAAAGCGGCUCGCUGGAUCGCAACUGACGCUGAGGGACGAAAGCUAGGGGAGCAAACAGG
rnacentral:rRNA from 1 species